rnacentral:rRNA from 1 species
GACGGAGGAUGCAAGCGUUAUCCGGAAUCACUGGGCGUAAAGCGUCUGUAGGUGGUUUAAAAAGUCCACUGUUAAAAAUUGAAGCUUAACUUCAAAGAUGCCGUGGAAACUUUUAAACUUGAGUAUGAUAGGGGUAGAGGGAAUUUCCAGUGGAGCGGUGAAAUGCGUAGAUAUUGGAAAGACCACCGAUGGCGAAGGCACUCUACUGGGCCACUACUGACACUGAGAGACGAAAGCUAGGGGAGCAAAUGGG